UCGUACGAGUUCAUACUCGUGGCGAAUAGCUCAGUAACACGUGGCCAAACUACCCUUCGGAGAACCAUACCCUCGGGAAACUGAGGCUAAUAGUACAUACCACAGUCCACCUGGAAUGAGGACUGUGCCAAACGCUCCGGCGCCGAAGGAUGUGGCUGCGGCCGAUUAGGUAGACGGUGGGGUAACGGCCCACCGUGCCAAUAAUCGGUACGGGUCAUGAGAGUGAGAACCCGGAGACGGAAUCUGAGACAAGAUUCCGGGCCCUACGGGGCGCAGCAGGCGCGAAACCUUUACACUGCACGCCAGUGCGAUAAGGGAAUCCCAAGUGCGCAGGCAUAGAGCCUGCGCUUUUGUCCACCGUAGGGAGGUGGACGAAUAAGGGCUGGGCAAGACCGGUGCCAGCCGCCGCGGUAAUACCGGCAGCCCGAGUGAUGGCCGAUCUUAUUGGGCCUAAAGCGUCCGUAGCUGGCCGCACAAGUCCAUCGGAAAAUCCACCCGCUCAACGGGUGGGCGUCCGGUGGAAACUGUGUGGCUUGGGACCGGAAGGCGCGACGGGUACGUCCGGGGUAGGAGUGAAAUCCUGUAAUCCUGGACGGACCGCCGAUGGCGAAAGCACGUCGCGAGGACGGAUCCGACAGUGAGGGACGAAAGCUAGGGUCUCGAACCGGAUUAGAUACCCGGGUAGUCCUAGCCGUAAACAAUGCCUGUUAGGUGUGGCUCCCACUACGAGUGGGUGCUGUGCCGUAGGGAAGCCGCUAAACAGGCCGCCUGGGA
rnacentral:rRNA from 1 species